rnacentral:rRNA from 2 species
AUUGAACGCUGGCGGCAGGCUUAACACAUGCAAGUCGAGCGGAAACGAAGGUAGCUUGCUACCAGGCGUCGAGCGGCGGACGGGUGAGUAACGCGUAGGAAUCUGCCUAGUAGAGGGGGACAACAUGUGGAAACGCAUGCUAAUACCGCAUACGCCCUGAGGGGGAAAGGAGGGGAUCACUUGUGACCUUCCGCUAUUAGAUGAGCCUGCGUGAGAUUAGCUAGUUGGUAGGGUAAAGGCCUACCAAGGCGACGAUCUCUAACUGGUCUGAGAGGAUGACCAGUCACACUGGGACUGAGACACGGCCCAGACUCCUACGGGAGGCAGCAGUGGGGAAUAUUGGACAAUGGGCGCAAGCCUGAUCCAGCCAUGCCGCGUGUGUGAAGAAGGCCUUAGGGUUGUAAAGCACUUUCAGGGGUGAGGAAGGGUGAGUCGCUAAUAUCGACUUAUCUUGACGUUAGCCCCAGAAGAAGCACCGGCUAACUCUGUGCCAGCAGCCGCGGUAAUACAGAGGGUGCAAGCGUUAAUCGGAAUUACUGGGCGUAAAGCGCGCGUAGGUGGUUUGUUAAGUCUGAUGUGAAAUCCCAGGGCUCAACCUUGGAAUGGCACCGGAUACUGGCUAGCUAGAGUAUGGUAGAGGGGUGUGGAAUUUCCUGUGUAGCGGUGAAAUGCGUAGAUAUAGGAAGGAACAUCAGUGGCGAAGGCGACACCCUGGACUAAUACUGACACU